rnacentral:rRNA from 1 species
AGAGUUUGAUCAUGGCUCAGAUUGAACGCUGGCGGCGUGCUUAACACAUGCAAGUCGAGCGAGAAAGUUCUCUUCGGAGAAUGAGUAGAGCGGCGCACGGGUGAGUAACGCGUGGGUAAUCUGCCCUGAAGAUCGGGAUAACAGUUGGAAACGACUGCUAAUACCGGAUAUCCUGCAUAUUUAACUUUAUGUGGAAAAGAUGGCCUCUGUUUCAAGCUAUUGCUUCAGGAUGAGCCCGCGUCUCAUUAGAUAGUUGGUGGGGUAAUGGCCUACCAAGUCAACGAUGAGUAGCUGGUCUGAGAGGAUGAUCAGCCACACUGGGACUGAAACACGGCCCAGACUCCUACGGGAGGCAGCAGUGGGGAAUAUUGCGCAAUGGGGGAAACCCUGACGCAGCGACGCCGCGUGCGGGAAGAAGGCUUUCGGGUCGUAAACCGCUGUCAGGAGGGAAGAAACUGUUUAGUCAUAAUACGGCUAUUCACUGACGGUACCUCCAGAAGGAAGCACCGGCUAACUCCGUNCCAGCAGCCGCGGUAAUACGGAGGGUGCGAGCGUUAAUCGGAAUCACUGGGCGUAAAGCGUGCGUAGGC